rnacentral:rRNA from 1 species
AUGUAGGUAUCUACCCUUUGGCCUGGAAUAACACGAGGAAACUUGUGCUAAUACUGGAUAAGUCUUUACGGAGAAAGCUUUAUGCACCAUUGGAUGAGCCUGCACUUGAUUAGUUUGUUGGUGGGGUAAUGGCCUACCAAGGCGACGAUCCGUAGCUGGUCUGAGAGGACGACCAGCCACACUGGGACUGAGACACGGCCCAGACUCCUACGGGAGGCAGCAGUGGGGAAUAUUGGACAAUGGGGGCAACCCUGAUCCAGCGACGCCGCGUGUGUGAAGAAGGCCUGCGGGUUGUAAAGC